GUAGGGUGCAAGCGUUAAUCGGAAUUACUGGGCGUAAAGCGUGCGCAGGCGGUUGUGUAAGACAGGCGUGAAAUCCCCGGGCUCAACCUGGGAAUGGCGCUUGUGACUGCACAGCUGGAGUGCGGCAGAGGGGGAUGGAAUUCCGCGUGUAGCAGUGAAAUGCGUAGAUAUGCGGAGGAACACCGAUGGCGAAGGCAAUCCCCUGGGCCUGCACUGACGCUCAUGCACGAAAGCGUGGGGAGCAAAC
rnacentral:rRNA from 1 species